GUCGUUGUAGUAUAGUGGUGAGUAUUCCCGCCUGUCACGCGGGCGACCCGGGUUCGAUCCCCGCAAUGGCG
rnacentral:tRNA from 1 species